rnacentral:lncRNA from 1 species
AUGCUUGCAGGAUUUGCCAGUUCCUGUAUGCCAAUGGGGUUUGUGCUCUGGCUCACUGUCGGUGCCUUCAGGGAAGCUGAUGCUCUGAGCAGCGGCUGCCCCAGGACAAACUGUCUUCAGGUGCCUCCUUGGCUUGACCAACUGCCCGUAACCAUUCUGGGUCUUGAACCAGCUUGUCUCACGAAGAACUGCCCUUUGGAGGUGAUCUUCUUGCUUGUCCUUCCAUCUUCCCUGACGUUUCCACUGCUCCUUUUAUGGGGUCACCGUUGUUACCAUCAGCAGCAACGCCACAAGCCCAA